rnacentral:rRNA from 1 species
CCUGCCUACGGGAGGCAGCAGUGGGGAAUAUUGCACAAUGGGGGAAACCCUGAUGCAGCAACGCCGCGUGAGUGAGGAAGUAUUUCGGUAUGUAAAGCUCUAUCAGCAGGGAAUAGAAAAGAAGGUACCUGAAAAAGAAGCCCCAGCUAACUACGUGCCAGCAGCCGCGGUAAUACGUAGGGGGCAAGCGUUAUCCGGAUUUACUGGGUGUAAAGGGAGCGUAGACGGCAGUGCAAGUCUGGAGUGAAAGGCGGUGGCUCAACC